GAGUUUGAUCCUGGCUCAGAACGAACGCUGGCGGCAGGCUUAACACAUGCAAGUCGAACGCCCCGCAAGGGGAGUGGCAGACGGGUGAGUAACGCGUGGGAACGUGCCCAAAGGUACGGAACAACUCCGGGAAACUGGAGCUAAUACCGUAUGUGUCCGUAAGGAGAAAGAUUUAUCGCCUUUGGAUCGGCCCGCGUUGGAUUAGCUAGUUGGUGGGGUAAAAGCCUACCAAGGCGACGAUCCAUAGCUGUUCUGAGAGGAAGAUCAGCCACACUGGGACUGAGACACGGCCCAGACUCCUACGGGAGGCAGCAGUGGGGAAUCUUGGACAAUGGGCGCAAGCCUGAUCCAGCCAUGCCGCGUGAGUGAUGAAGGCCUUAGGGUUGUAAAACUCUUUCGCCGAGGACGAUAAUGACGGUACUCGGAGAAGAAGCUCCGGCUAACUUCGUGCCAGCCGCCGCGGUAAC
rnacentral:rRNA from 1 species